rnacentral:tRNA from 1 species
GGGGUUGUGGCUUGGUGGUAGAGCACUCACCUAGCAUGUGUGAGGCACUGGGUUCAAUUCUCAGCACCA